rnacentral:rRNA from 1 species
CAUGUAGGGUGCGAGCGUUGUCCGGAAUUAUUGGGCGUAAAGAGCUCGUAGGCGGUGUGUCGCGUCGGCCGUGAAAACCUGCAGCUUAACUGUGGGCUUGCGGUCGAUACGGGCAUCACUGGAGUUCGGCAGGGGAGACUGGAAUUCCUGGUGUAGCGGUGAAAUGCGCAGAUAUCAGGAAGAACACCUAUGGCGAAGGCAGCUCUCUGGGACGGUACUGACGCUGAGACGCGAAAGCGUGGGGAGCGAACAGG